GGGCCACCCUUCAGGAGUCUUUGAAUCCUUCUAAGAUGCUGCAGCUGUCUCUUAGCUCAGUGCCGUUGGAUCCACCAUCACCUGUCAGAGGUGAAAACCUUCAUCCUACCUGUGAAUGUCCCGGUACUGCGGAGGGGAGGGCUCACAGCUGAGUUGUUAGGAUAUGAAGGACUCCUCCCACCUUGCAGGCCUCGCCUCUUCCCUUACCUGGGAGCACAGUUUGUAACUCAGGUGUGCCCUCUUCUCUGCAGCUGUGGGCUGCUCACGAGCAGAGCACCGGGGAUGGUUUGAGCCCUCAGCACCAGCAGCCCCGGCUUUGGCAGCUCUGGCUCCUGCGAUGGGACAUUUCCCAAUACUAUUUUACAGUAUCAUCACAGAACAUCCUGACUUGGAAGGGACCCACAAGGACCAUCCAGUCCAAUACGAGCUCCUUUUUCAGCAGCUGGGUUCCUGCAUGGAUGAGUGUGGGAAGGCUCCUGGCUGUGGAGGGAUUUGGAAGCUCUGGCAGAACAGAAGUGUGAGGAAGGUUCAGUGAGAUGCAGAUAAGGAGAGAUUAGAAGUUACCUAUAAAAAACAGAUUUUAGUUCUGAUGCUUCCUGAACGACUUUUUGCUUCCUGCCCUUUUAUUUGUGCUGUAAAGUGAAGCAGG
rnacentral:lncRNA from 12 species